rnacentral:rRNA from 1 species
UAAUGGCUUACCAAGCCGUUGAUCGGUACGGGUUGUGAGAGCAAGAGCCCGGAGAUGGAACUGAGACAAGGUUCCAGGCCUACGGGGUGCAGCAGGCGCGAAACCUCCGCAAUGUGAGAAAUCGCGACGGGGGGAUCCCAAGUGCCAUUCUUAACGGGAUGGCUUUUCAUUAGUGUAAAAAGCUUUUGGAAUAAGAGCUGGGCAAGACCGGUGCCAGCCGCCGCGGUAACACCGGCAGCUCUAGUGGUAGCAACUUUUAUUGGGCCUAAAGCGUCCGUAGCCGGUUUAAUAAGUCUCUGGUGAAAUCCUGUAGCUUAACUGUGGGAAUUGCUGGAGAUACUAUUAGACUUGAGACCGGGAGAGGUUGGAGGUACUCCCAGGGUAGAGGUGAAAUUCUGUAAUCCUGGGAGGACCGCCUGUUGCGAAGGCGUCUAACUGGAACGGUUCUGACGGUGAGGGACGAAAGUUAGGGGCGCGAACCGGAUUAGAUACCCGGGUAGUCCUAACUGUAAACGAUGCGGACUUGGUGUUGGGGUGGCUUUGAGCUGCUCCAGUGCCGAAGGGAAGCUGUUAAGUCCGCCGCCUGGGAAGUACGGUCGCAAGACUGAAACUUAA